UACGGAGGGUGCAAGCGUUAUCCGGAUUCACUGGGUUUAAAGGGUGCGUAGGCGGGCAGGUAAGUCAGUGGUGAAAUCUCCAAGCUUAACUUGGAAACUGCCGUUGAUACUAUCUGUCUUGAAUACCGUGGAGGUGAGCGGAAUAUGUCAUGUAGCGGUGAAAUGCGUAGAUAUGACAUAGAACACCAAUUGCGAAGGCAGCUCGCUACACGAAUAUUGACUCUGAGGCACGAAAGCGUGGGGAUCAAACAGG
rnacentral:rRNA from 1 species